rnacentral:rRNA from 1 species
CCUACGGGUGGCAGCAGUGAGGAAUAUUGGUCAAUGGGCGCGAGCCUGAACCAGCCAAGUCGCGUGAGGGAAGACGGUCCUAUGGAUUGUAAACCUCUUUUGUCGGGGAGCAAAAGACGCCACGCGUGGCGUUCCGAGAGUACCCGAAGAAAAAGCAUCGGCUAACUCCGUGCCAGCAGCCGCGGUAAUACGGAGAAUGCGAGCGUUAUCCGGAUUUAUUGGGUUUAAAGGGUGCGCAGGCGGAAGAUCAAGUCAGCGGUAAAAUUGAGAGGCUCAACCUCUUCGAGCCGUUGAAACUGGGUGGCGUGAGUGAGCGAGAAUGAUGCGGUAUGCGUGGUGUAGCGGUGAAAUGUAUAGAUAGCACGCAGAACUGCGAUUGCGUAGGCAGCAUACCGGCGCUCAACUGACGCUCAUGCACGAAAGUGUGGGUAUCGAACAGGAUUAGAUACCCUAGUAGUC